rnacentral:rRNA from 1 species
UACGUAGGGUGCGAGCGUUGUCCGGAAUUAUUGGGCGUAAAGAGCUCGUAGGCGGUGUGUCACGUCGGCCGUGAAAACCUGCAGCUUAACUGUGGACGUGCGGUCGAUACGGGCAUCACUGGAGUUCGGCAGGGGAGACUGGAAUUCCUGGUGUAGCGGUGAAAUGCGUAGAUAUCUGGAGGAAUACCGGUGGCGAAGGCGGCAUCCUGGACCGACAUUGACGCUGAUGAGCGAAAGCUAGGGGAGCAAACGGG